rnacentral:lncRNA from 1 species
UAGAUCAUGCCCUUUGCCAUCCCGGUCAGAUCUCCUUCCCUUUAAAAACGAGGCUGCCCUCCCUAUCCUCUUCGCUCUUAUCAGGGAAAUCCCCAAAUCUCAAUCUUACCCUUCUGACCUUCUCAACCAUCUACCAAACCCUAACCCACGGCGGAGCGGCUCCCUCCUUUUCUCUCUGUCGGUGGUCCUGUCCUUCCGGCAAGAUCAGUCUCCCCGACCUGAGAUCUUCCGACCGGCGCGUCGGGUUUCGAACAAAGGAGGCGCGUGGCUUCCACGCUCUAUGUAAAUUCAUGUGUUCUUGGUCACUCGAAUUCGGAAACCUCAGCCGCCGGGGCUGUACCGGAAGUCUACUGGACUCAUGGCUUUCGGCGUGGCAUGUACAUAGCACAGAACGACGAAUCUACGGUCUAGAUCAUGCCCUUUGCCAUCCCGGUCAGAUCUCCUUCCCUUUAAAAACGAGGCUGCCCUCCCUAUCCUCUUCGCUCUUAUCAGGGAAAUCCCCAAAUCUCAAUCUUACCCCUCUAACCUUCUCAACCCUCUACCAAACCCUUCCGGCAAGAUUAAUCUCCUUAUCUCUCUCUGUCGGUGGUCCUGUCUUUCCGGCAAGAUUAGUCUCCCCGACCUGAGAUCUUCCGACCGGCGCGUCGGGUUUCAAACAAAGGAGGCGCGUGGUGUUCACGCUCUAUGUAAAUUCAUGUGUUCUUGGUCACUCGAAUUCGGAAACCUCAGCCGCCGGGGCUGUACCGGAACUCUACUGGACUCAUGGCUUCAGCUGUGCUAGCUAAUCAGAGCGAACCGAGCUGGAUGCAGGCACAGCCGGCCGGCGGGGCCAAGCUAAUGGGCAAAUACCCCUUCUCCAACUCCAACCCUAGCAACCCUAACCCUCAAUUCUCUAAGAAACGGCAUCUUCAGGCGUUGCCUUUCGCCGAGGUAGAUGAAUCUCCGGCGUUCACACAAUCUGCGGCAUCUGACGACGCGUCAUCAAUUAAUCGGAAACCUAACGAUUUCAUCACUGGGCGAUACGUCACCUUCAAUGUCGCUUCGUAUUCAAAGAAGGAGCUUGUGGACCUGAAGGAUCGGUUGGUUGCCGAGCUUGAGCAGAUCCGACAAUUGGAGAGCCGCAUCAAUUCGUCGUCCGACUCCCAGAUCAGAUCCGGCUCAAAUUUUCACAACAAGAAACCAAUUGGUGGUCCGAACAGCAACAAGAAGAUACUGGGAAACAAGCGGCCCUUCCCUGCUACUAAUUCGAGUUUUGGGGUUCAGGAAUUGAAGAGAUCACACAACCACCAAGAUAACUCGCAAUUGAUGAAGAAGUGCAGCCAGAUCUUGUCCAAAUUAAUGAAGCACAAGUACGGGCACAUCUUCAACGUGCCGGUAGACAUUGUUGGAUUGCAGCUUCACGAUUAUAACGAC